UUUAUCAUAAAUCUUUUACAAUUAAUAACCGAAGGAUCCUUAUAAUUGAAUAUCAAUUAAAAUUUUAUUAUUUUCCUCUCUCACCAUUUUCCUUCCACUCUCUCUCUCGUUUCAGCUCUUGGGUCAGGUGGUCAACAACCACCGCCGGCCUUCCGCCCGUCGCCUUCGCCACCACCGCCAACCUUCCGCUUGUUGCCUUCGCCACCACCGUCAUCCUUCCGCUUGUCGCCUCCGCCACCACCGCCGGCCUUCCGCUUGUUGCCUUCGCCACCACAUUCAUCCUUCCGCUUGUCGCCUCUGCCACCACCGCCAGCCUUCCGCUUGUUGCCUCCGUCACCACCGCCAGCCUUCCGCUUGUCGCCUCCGCUAGUCUCUCAAUCGAUUAAAUUAAGGGAAGAACAACACUAUAUGAUUGCUCAUCUGCUACAAAAUCAAGAUCACUUAUGGUGGUGUUGUCAGAGGCAUGCACCUUGGUUCAUAGCCUUGGGCAUUCUUCCGGUUCUUGAACAAAAUAACAAGCAAGGAAGGAACCUUUAGCGGAAUCGGCUGAGUAGCACCAAGCAUUUUCUUUGUCAAGGUUUGUGGAUUGAUCUGGGAAAAAUGAUGGUCAGUUACAGUGGAAAAGAGGCUAUCUCAAGGCACUUGAGAUCCUUGUUAAAUGUACAGUUGAAGCCUGAAAGUACAAAGAAGGUUGUGAGGAGGAAUUCGCUCCACUGAAGGAAGGAUAGUGUAUUUUUAUAUUAUGUAGUUUAUUUUUUAAUGCAAGUUUCAAUUUAAUAUGUAUGUGAAAUGGUACGAUAUAUUGCAAUACAAUUUUAUUUCCGAAA